AAUCUUGGACAAUCGGCGCAAUCCUGAUCCAGCCAUGCCGCGUGAGUGCCGGAGCCUCUCGGGUUGUAAAGCUCUUUCGGACGCAAAGAUUUUGCUUUCGCCAAUACCGAGCGCGCCUCAUGUUAUCGUCAUACUGAGCCCCGGGUAACUACGUCCCAGAACCCGCGGUAAUACGUAGGGUGCGAGCGUUAAUCGGAAUUACUGGGCGUAAAGCGUGCGCAGGCGGUUGAGUAAGACAGGCGUGAAAUCCCCGGGCUUAACCUGGGAACUGCGCUUGUGACUGGUCAGCUAGAGUACGGCAGAGGGGGGUGGAAUUCCACGUGUAGCAGUGAAAUGCGUAGAGAUGUGGAGGAACACCGAUGGCGAAGGCAGCCCCCUGGGCCGAUACUGACGCUCAUGCACGAAAGCGUGGGUAGCAAACAGG
rnacentral:rRNA from 1 species